rnacentral:rRNA from 1 species
AUUCGAACCACCUAACGAGGAACGAUCGGAGGGCAAGUCUGGUGCCAGCAGCCGCGGUAAUUCCAGCUCCAAUAGCGUACGUUAAAGUUGCUGCAGUUAAAAAAGCUCGUAGUUGAACGUUCGGGUUCCGCGGGACGGGGCCGCCCCGCGAGGGACGGCGCCGCCCCGGGGCUCGUGAUAUCUUAUCUCGCCGCCCGUCGCGAGGCGGACGGAGGGAUGGAUGAGGUUACCUGGAAAAAAUCGGGGCGAUCUAGGCGGGCGAACCUCGCCAACGAACGAUCGGACAUGGGAUAACGGAAGAGGGCGUCGGCUCGACUUCGUCGGUUCCUCGGGCCGAGGCACGUACGGUGAAUAGGGACGGUCGGGGCCGCCCGUACCGGGUCGUGAGAGGUGAAAUUCUAGGAUCGACCCGAGACGAACUGCCGCGAAAGCAUUCGGCAAGGACGCUUUCAUUAAUCAAGAACGAAAGUCGGGGGAUCGAAGACGAUCAGAUACCGUCGUAGUCCCGACCGUAAACGAUGCCGACCGAGGGGCCCGGAGGAGUUACGUACGACCCUCCGGGCCCU